rnacentral:rRNA from 1 species
UACAGAGGUCUCAAGCGUUGUUCGGAUUCAUUGGGCGUAAAGGGUGCGUAGGCGGCGCGGUAAGUCGGGUGUGAAAUCUCGGAGCUUAACUCCGAAACUGCAUUCGAUACUGGGCGGCUAGAGUCUGGUAGGGGGAUCUGGAAUUCCUGGUGUAGCGGUGGAAUGCGCAGAUAUCAGGAGGAACACCGGUGGCGAAGGCGGGAUCCUGGGCCAGUACUGACGCUGAGGAGCGAAAGUGUGGGGAGCAAACAGG